UGGUAGCGCUGGACCCCAAGGACUGGACCAAAGGCAGGGGGAGGUGUUCCAGCUGCACCUUCGGUUUUUCUUUCUCCACAGCACAUUCUCUAGGCUGGACCCUGGUGGCCCGGGACAGGUGACCGAGGAAGAUCGCCCACCGAGACUCCUGUUGUGCAGAAGUGCUUCGUGGCUUUGAGGAGGUGGAGCUCCCAACACCUGGGUUCCUCAGCCAGACUGCCUCGUGGACCACUCCUUAAAAGACCCAGGGCUCCUCCCAGCUGACCCUGAAGAGGGAAG
rnacentral:lncRNA from 1 species